AAUACUAUUAAUAGACAAUUUUUUUUUGGAAUUGAACAUUUUCUGUUAAAAGACUUUACUCCUACAACAAAUGGUGUAUAUGCAUAUAUCACUAAGCAUUUGCAAUAGAGGAAAAGUUAGUCCAAGUCUAGAAUUCUUAUAAUUCUCCAUAUUUCAUUUUUUAAAGCAAAGAUGAGUGACCCCAAGUAUGCUUAUCCUUACCCUGCUCAAGGAUAUUAUCAAGGGCCUCCAGUGAUGGCACCUCCACAAUAUCAGUAUCAAUAUGCUCCACCUCCUCCCAGGAAACAGACUGGUUUUCUUGAGGGCUGUUUGGCUGCCCUUUGUUGCUGCUUCUUGAUUGAUGAAUGCUGUUGCGACCCUUCCAUUAUAUUGAUAUGUUAAUCUUAAGUGAUAAGUGUAAGAUGGUCCUUCGGGUUAAAGACUUGUGUCUCCAAAUAUGUGCACUGCUACUCAACGUCUAUAAAUUAGAAGAUUAUAUAGCUGGCUUUGGUGAAAUCUUGUUAGCUUUUACAAACUUGUCUAUGUAAUCUAUUUUAUAUUUUUAGAUUUGCAAGUUAAUGUGCUUCUAUUAUAAUUUGGAGUAAUUUACUCUAUUUUUAGUCCUUUAA